UCGGUGGGGGAUUAGUGGCGAACGGGUGAGUAACACGUGGGCAAUCUGCCCUUCACUCUGGGACAAGCCCUGGAAACGGGGUCUAAUACCGGAUAACACUGCGGACCGCAUGGUCUGUGGUUGAAAGCUCCGGCGGUGAAGGAUGAGCCCGCGGCCUAUCAGCUUGUUGGUGGGGUGAUGGCCUACCAAGGCGACGACGGGUAGCCGGCCUGAGAGGGCGACCGGCCACACUGGGACUGAGACACGGCCCAGACUCCUACGGGAGGCAGCAGUGGGGAAUAUUGCACAAUGGGCGAAAGCCUGAUGCAGCGACGCCGCGUGAGGGAUGACGGCCUUCGGGUUGUAAACCUCUUUCAGCAGGGAAGAAGCGAAAGUGACGGUACCUGCAGAAGAAGCGCCGGCUAACUACGUGCCAGCAGCCGCGGUAAUACGUAGGGCGCAAGCGUUGUCCGGAAUUAUUGGGCGUAAAGAGCUCGUAGGCGGCUUGUCGCGUCGGAUGUGAAAGCCCGGGGCUUAACCCCGGGUCUGCAUUCGAUACGGGCAGGCUAGAGUGUGGUAGGGGAGAUCGGAAUUCCUGGUGUAGCGGUGAAAUGCGCAGAUAUCAGGAGGAACACCGGUGGCGAAGGCGGAUCUCUGGGCCAUUACUGACGCUGAGGAGCGAAAGCGUGGGGAGCGAACAGGAUUAGAUACCCUGGUAGUCCACGCCGUAAACGUUGGGAACUAGGUGUUGGCGACAUUCCACGUCGUCGG
rnacentral:rRNA from 1 species